rnacentral:rRNA from 1 species
GUUGGCUUAGAAGCAGCCAUCCUUUAAAGAGUGCGUAAUAGCUCACUAGUCGAGUAUCUCUGCGCCGAAAAUGUACCGGGGCUAAACAUAUUACCGAAGUUAUGGAUUUAUAAUUUAUUAUAAAUGGUAGGGGAGCGUUCUAAGGGCGCUGAAGGUAGAUCGUGAGGACUACUGGAGCGCUUAGAAGUGAGAAUGCCGGUGUGAGUAACGUAAGGUAGGUGAGAAUCCUACCCACUAUUUGACCAAGGUUUCCAGGGUCAAGUUCGUCUUCCCUGGGUUAGUCGGGACCUAAGGCGAGGCUGAAAAGCGUAGUCGAUGGACAACAGGUUUAUAUUCCUGUACUGCUUAUAGGACUGAUGGAGUGACGGAGAAAGCUAGGAAGAGCCAGUUAUUGGAUUCUGGUCUAAGCGUUUAGGUUGAUGCACAGGAAAAUCCGUGAUAUCGAUAAGACUGAAGCGUGAUGGCGACGUGGUCUACGGACCGCUAAGUCUUCUGAAGCUAUGCUUCCAAGAAAAACUUCUAAAGAUAUGUUAUAAGUACCCGUACCUAGAACCAACACAGGUGGUCAAGGAGAGAAUCCUAAGGUGAGCGAGAGAACUAUGGUUAAGGAACUCGGCAAAAUUACCCCGUAACUUCGGAAUAAGGGGAGGUUUCUUCGGAAACCCGCAGUGAAUAGGUCCAGGCAACUGUUUACCAAAAACACAGGUCUCUGCUAAAGCGUAAGCUGAUGUAUAGGGGCUGACGCCUGCCCAGUGCUGGAAGGUUAAGAUGAUUUGUUAGGUGGACGAAAGUCGAUAACACCGAAGCUUUGAUUUGAAGCCCCAGUGAACGGCGGCGAUAACUAUAAUCGUCCAAAGGUAGCGAAAUUCCUUGUCAGGUAAGUUCUGACCCGCACGAAAGGCGUAAUGAUCUGGGUACUGUCUCAACCAUAGACUCGGUGAAAUCUUAAUACCUGUGAAAAUGCAGGUUACCCGCGACAGGACGGAAAGACCCCAUGGAGCUUUACUGUAGCUUGAUAUUGAAGUUAGGUAAUUUAUGUAGAGGAUAGGUGGUAGACUAUGAUGUAUGGACGCCAGUUCAUACGGAGUCGCCCUUGGAAUACCACCCUUAAAUUAUUUGACCUCUAACUUACUCCCGUUAUCCGGGAGGAGGACAGUGUCUGGUGGGCAGUUUGACUGGGGCGGUCGCCUCCCAAAGAGUAACGGAGGCGCUCAAAGGUUCCCUCAGAUUGGUCGGAAAUCAAUCAAAGAGUGUAAUGGUAUAAGGGAGCUUGACUGCGAGACCUACAAGUCGAGCAGGUGCGAAAGCAGGACAUAGUGAUCUGGCGGUAGAAUAUGGAAUUGCCGUCGCUUAACGGAUAAAAGUUACCCUGGGGAUAACAGGCUGAUAGCGCCCAAUAGUUCACAUAGACGGCGCUGAUUGGCACCUCGAUGUCGGCUCGUCACAUCCUGGAGGUGGAUUCGCUUCCAAGGGUUGGGCUGUUCGCCCAUUAAAGUGGCACGCGAGCUGGGUUCAGAACGU